GGAGGGGUGCCGGAGUGGUCAAUCGGAGCAGACUGUAAAUCUGCCGCUCGUUGAGCUACGUAGGUUCGAAUCCUACUCCCUCCA
rnacentral:tRNA from 1 species